rnacentral:rRNA from 1 species
CAGCAGCCACGGUAAUACGUAGGUCCCGAGCGUUGUCCGGAUUUAUUGGGCGUAAAGCGAGCGCAGGCGGUUAGAUAAGUCUGAAGUUAAAGGCUGUGGCUUAACCAUAGUACGCUUUGGAAACUGUUUAACUUGAGUGCAAGAGGGGAGAGUGGAAUUCCAUGUGUAGCGGUGAAAUGCGUAGAUAUAUGGAGGAACACCGGUGGCGAAAGCGGCCCUCUGGCUUGUAACUGACGCUGAGGCUCGAAAGCGUGGGGCGCAAACAGGAUUAGAUACCCCCGUAGUCCCUGUCUCUUAUACC